rnacentral:rRNA from 1 species
UACGUAGGGGGCAAGCGUUGUCCGGAUUCAUUGGGCGUAAAGAGCGUGUAGGCGGCCAGGUAGGUCGGUUGUGAAAACUGGAGGCUCAACCUUCAGAGGUCGACCGAAACCAUCUGGCUAGAGUCCGGGAGAGGAGAGUGGAAUUCCUGGUGUAGCGGUGAAAUGCGUAGAUAUGUGGAGGAACACCGAUGGCGAAGGCAGCCCCCUGGGUCAAGAUUGACGCUCAUGCACGAAAGCGUGGGGAGCAAACAGG